rnacentral:rRNA from 1 species
GAUGAACGCUGGCGGCGUGCCUAAUACAUGCAAGUCGAGCGAACAGACGAGGAGCUUGCUCCUCUGACGUUAGCGGCGGACGGGUGAGUAACACGUGGAUAACCUACCUAUAAUACUGGGAUAACUUCGGGAAACCGGAUCUAAUACCGGAUAAUAUAUUGAACCGCAUGGUUCAAUAGUGAAAGACGGUUUUGCUGUCACUUAUAGAUGGAUCCGCGCCGCAUUAGCUAGUUGGUAAGGUAACGGCUUACCAAGGCAACGAUGCGUAGCCGACCUGAGAGGGUGAUCGGCCACACUGGAACUGAGACACGGUCAAGACUCCUACGGGAGGCAGCAGUAGGGAAUCGUCCGCAAAGGGCGAAAGCCUGACGGAGCAACGCCGCGUGAGUGAUGAAGGUCUUCGGAUCGUAAAACUCUGUUAUUAGGGAAGAACAAAUGUGUAAGUAACUAUGCACGUCUUGACGGUACCUAAUCAGAAAGCCACGGCUAACUACGUG